GUGGCGGGGGCGGUGAGCCUCGCCUCCGACCCCCGCCGCGGCCCGUGAGUCGCCGGCGCGCCUCCGCGUCGCCACCUCCAGGGACUGUCCCCACGAGAGACCGGCGCGCUCCCGGGGUAAGACUCUCCGAGCCAAACUCCAGUGAUGACGCACUUCCUCUCAUAAGGCGGCACUGUCUAAAGUCUUCCCAAGCAGAUCCACCACCAGCUGGAAACCAAGUGUUCAAUACGUGAGCCUAUGGGAGCAUUUCUCGUUCAAACCACCACAGUCGAAGGACAACCGAAAGACUAGCUAUUGGCUUGGUCAGCUGAGAUGAGCUGAGGAGACCAGACGACAGCAUUGAGCAGGUGCCUUGGAACUGGAGUUGCAGACAGUUCCGAGCCACCAUGUGAACAGCCAUGCUACACUGCGAGUCCUGUAAAACAGGGCCAAUCACUCACAGACUGGAACCUCAAAACAGCCAGUGAUGAGAAGCUGAAGAACAUGGAGUCGAUGUAAGUCAAACUUACAGUAAUGAGAAUCCUCAAACCUGACUAUUCCUUCAGUCUUGCCUAGUGAUGGUGCCGCCCAUAGUGGACUGGGGCUGCCUACAGCAAUCAUCAAUGGAGAUUCUCACAGACGGGGCCAAUCUGACUGAGGCAGUUCUUCACUUGAGACUCUCUCCUUCUGGCUAUCACUAGAGGGAAGAACCAGGACAUUAAAAACAAUCAGAUCAAAACCAAAACCCAGCAGUGAAAAUCUCAACCCUACAGCUCGGUGUCUGGCAUCUGGGAUCCACACACAAUCUUCUGGGAUCCACUUCUGGCUUUGCCGUCUGCAGCUCACACCAAGACGGGGUUUCACAGAACUGUCAAGGGUGAAACAAACAAACAAACAAACAAACAAACAAAGCUGGAGGAUGGAUGUGAGAAGAGGAGCCAGCUCCCAAGCUGUGAAAGAAGCAAACUGUAAACUCCAGCUUGGGUCCCGGUUUGGUUCUUGUCCGGUAGCUGUAACUGAGGGAUGAGAGCUCCCCUUGGGGCUGUUGGACAGGGCUGGGGUUAGUGUGUGCUGAUCACGCCUUGUGCUUUCUUACCUCAGCUGGGUCCAGAUGCCAUUUCUUCAAGGAUGCCCUAAAGCCUGCAGACAGACUGCCCGGGACUCUCCCCAUGCCUUGUUGUUGGCCCGGGGUACUUGUCCCAAGUCACUGUGUGGAUUCUUUCUUUGUACUGAUGAUCACUGGGUCCUGCCAGUCCCACGACAUGGGCAUGGUUGCUUCAUUGGUUGAGAUCUCAGAUGGGAAGAUGUGAGACACAGAGCAGCAAUGUAACCCAGUAACAGAAAUGCAUUUGCCCCUGUGGUCACAGAGAACAUGGGGUUCUCUGCUACGUUAGACAUCCCGACUGAUCCGCCAGCUCAGAGCCCUCCUGUUCUGAUAUUUCCACAUUGUGAAUUGCCUCUGCUCCUGCCCUGAGUGGUCCCAGCUGGUUUCCCCAUCUUUGCCAGCCUUCUGCCCUGACUUCUUUUAUCAAGGUCUCCAGAGCAAAGGACUUUGACUCCCUACGAGGGAGGGCGGAUACAACUAACAACCCAAACAUGAUUCUGAAGCUAUCUGUGAAGUACAUCGAUGCUGGAGCCCAGAGUCUGGUGGUCUGGAGGCCUAAGAGGACCGCUAGGAAAGAGCUUAUUUAGAGACAGGCUCCAGUGGUCAUUACAGUUUUACAUUACAUUCUACUGUAGUGUUCUGGAACUCUCCAGGAUGAAGAUGGUGAUACUUCAAGGAUUCUUGGGUAUCCUGCAGUGACAGGGGUAGGCUCAGGAAAGCAUGCAUGCGCUGUGACUAAGGUGGGACAUUUACGCUCAGUUAAGUCCAACCAAUAAUAGCAAACAUGGUGACAGUGGUCUGUACAAACUUCUCUGCAAGCCAGUCUUCAUCUACCACUCAACUACUCAAGAGGCUGCAGCAGAAAGAUCACCUGAGCCCAGGAAUUCCAGGCCAGCCUGAGCAACGUGAUGAGACCCUGUGUCCUAAAACAAAACCAUGUUAAGUCUCAGUGAGUCUGUGAUGAGGAGGUUCUUCAAGAGUGUAGAUCUGUGAACUCUGGAGGCUUGUUUCUACCACCAUGAUGCUGGAGAUGACCUGCAGGGUUUCACCAUGGAAGCCAUCUUCAGUCUACCCAAUGCCUUGGAGGGUAAAGGAAAGAUCUAUCUCAUGGGCCCAACCUUUAGGGAUUACAGCAUGACAUUGUCAUCUACUGUUUACACUUGAGAUCUGUACAAUCAGGUUACACUAUAAGAAUCACACACAGAGAGAUCUCAUGUCUUAACGAUAUUGACAAUUUUAUGUUGGGCCUCAUCUGUAGUUUUUCAGGGCAUCUGGUCAGACAUGCUUGGAACUGUAAGAGUGGGGGGCUGUGGGGUGCGACUUGGAGGCAGUUUGUUAGGCCUUCAUACAUUCGUGUGUCUGUGCAUCUGAUAACAAAUAGCUACUUCCUUUUUAUAUUUUUGGUUGUGAGCUUAACCUAUAACAGCUUAGUCAUCUCUCCAGCCUACUUCUUUUUUAAAAACACAAGAGGGUCCCAUUCUCGGGGGACGAAGACCCCUUCUAGCCACAGCACCUGCUUGCUUUCUUUGCUUUGAGUGACUUUGGGCCUCCUGGCCUGUUGCCACUUGCAUGGUUUUUCCUUUGAUAUUGGGCUGAAACCCACAUGAAGCCUCUUUUGGGAGGUUGGCAGCUCACUCACAGCACUUUCCAGAGAAAAAUGUUCACAGUGGCACAAACACAUUGACUCCAGCGGUCAGUCACUGAGUCUCGGGAUAUCAAGAGGGAGCGAGUAUUUAGGGUACUGGCAGUCAUAAGCGAGCUAUCCACGCUCUGAGUCUUUCUCAGUGCCCUCAGCAGCAGAGAUCACGGUGGUCGCCUGCUGCCGCGUCGGUGUGCGGUGCCCAGAGGUUCACAGAGGACAAACAAGAACUGGGUCACCUCUUCCAGCACCUUCUCCCUGCCCUGCCCUUUCCCUGUUGAUCCCAUUUCAUUUAGUUCCUUUUUCAAGACUGCUCAGUCUGACCCAGAGCAUCUUGCUACCCAGGCACACUGCCAGUCUCCCUUCUUCCUCUGAAGUCUGUGAUCGGGAGCAUAUUAUUUGAUUUUAUGUUAUAUUAUUAUUAUUAGAAUGCCCCCUGCCAAAGCCAUGCUGAAACUGGACUGGCAUCAUGACAGUAUGAAGAAGUGAGACUUGGGGUUGGAGAGAUGGCUCUGCAGUUAGGAGCACCAGAUAGUACU